GACACUGACCUUUCUUUUUUUCCCAGGUAUACCUCAAAAGGAACAGCUCUUUAUGCCAUUUUCCUGCACUGGCCAGAAAAUGGAGUCUUAAACCUUGUAUCCCCUGUAACUACCUCGACUACACAGAUAACAAUGCUGGGGAUCCAGAAAGAUCUGAAGUGGUCCACAGGUCCAGAAGAAGGUCUGCUCAUUUAUCUGCCCCAGUUACCACUCUUUACUCUGCCAGUUGAGUUUGGUUGGACUAUCAAGCUGACAGGAGUGCAUUGAUCAUUGGAGUUCAGGCAGAACUGCCUCCUAUUUGCUGCUUUGGUUUUCCUCUUAUAGCACUGUCGUUGUAAUAAACUACUUCUCUACUCAGAGAUGGCUUUUCCAACACAUUUUAAUCAAAGGAACUGAGUGCAUUAUACUGAUGUCUCAAUGGAUCAGAGAUCUGAGAUCCAUUGCUAGCAUACCUCUCCCUGAUCAGCAGGAGGCACUAACCAGUUAAGCUCUGAAUUCAUCCUUCUAUUCCUAACCUGGGAAAUUAUCUAUCCCGGAAACUUCCCUCCAUUUUCUAUGUUUGAAACCUGUCUCCUUAAUCAAUGACUUCAGAUAAGGAAUGAGCCAGGUCACCCUACUGCCUAUGGAAGGAGGUGAAAAGGAUUUGGCAAGCUCAACCAUACGCUGUGUAUUUAGCAUCAGUUGUCACCAGCACCACUCAGAGAGGAAGAGAGCCUGGAAGGGAAGGAAAAGGCUUGCUAGGGCUGCUAGUGAUCAGCCCUUUGGAAGUUUCCAAAGCAAACUAGGGGCUCAGAAAGUCAGUCUGUUUACAGUGAUCUUAUGAAGAAAAUGAAUGUGAUUCUGCCCUGCUUUUUAAAAUAUCAAAUAAAUAAAUUUUUAUGUCA